GCCCGGGUAGCCCAACUGGCAGGAGGCGCGCCGUUCAGGGCGGCGACAGUGUGCGUUCGAAUCGCACCCCGGGCA
rnacentral:tRNA from 1 species